CGGCGGCGCGUUUCUUGCGCCCAGUGAGGUGUUGGGAGGGCGCGUUGUAGGUCUGGGGUGGGCUGCGUUCCUGCGGUGGGGCUCAUUUGUAAAAUGAGCCAAGUAACGCUCAUCCAGAUGAUUCUGUGGUGAGAGAAAAUGUUUUGUAAUUUGCCGCUUAUGUAAGCCGCAAUAUUACUUCACGAAAGCGAACGCGCGAGCGAAGUGUUGUAGCGGAGCUGUGCUGUCGCGGCCCCUUUUCCUGUCUCCGCAGCCCCCGGUGAGGUGCCCGGCCUUCGCCCUCUGUGCGUCUCGUUGCCGUGGCAACGCGGCCUUUGCGUGGGCCUCAGGCCCUGCUUGGAGAUGGAUAAUUAACAUACACGUUUACAUGCGUUGCUGAAAAGCGUUACCUGUGUUCUGCCCGAUCUCUGCACGCACUGGCUCCUUUGCACACUGAUGACCGGGCCCUUACAGAUACACACAGUAAGCUGCAGGUCACUGCGUUCACACAGAGAUGUUCACACAGGCCUACGUGGUUUUAUCAGCUCACAGAAGAUGAUAGUUCUGCUGCUACACUAUGCCCACUGUGUACAGUAAAAAUUGAAGGAGGGAAAUAGCGGAGAGCUGGACAAUAAGACCAUACCGCUUUGUUGGCAAUGUUUUACGCUGUAUAUUGUAUUUAAUAAAACCUAUGCAUGACCAAGGCUUUAGUCUAUGUUAUUACAUUAUUUAUAUGUUUUGACAGUGCUCAUAAAUAAGAAUCAAGUGUGCCCUGGAGGUGUUGGAAGCUAGUUCAACCCGGAUUGAAGUGCAAUAGGUGGAAAAAGAUAAAGAAGGGAACUCAUUACCAGCCUGAGCCUCUGCCAAUGUGCAAAAAUAAUUAGUGCUAAUUAUAAUAAUAUAUCCCUUUUUCAUAGGGAGCACAAAAGCACUAAAUAUGAUUACUGCUCAUUAAUAUAAAUUGAAGUAUGAGAUCUCAUGGUAGCUGUUCUCCUAAUGUUAAAGAGAUCUCCUUUCUCCCCAACUGUUACUCCAUUGUUGCAGAGGCUAUUUGAUAUAUACCAGCUUCCUCCCAAGUCUUUAGACCACCUUCAUUCACAUGAACUCACUUGAAUUAACAUGUAGCUGACUGAAACAGAAGAAAACUGAAGAUACAAUUAUAAUUCCAGGAGCUGUUUGCUC
rnacentral:lncRNA from 1 species